rnacentral:rRNA from 1 species
GAUGAACGCUGGCGGCGUGCCUAAUACAUGCAAGUCGAGCGAACAGACGAGGCGCUUGCUCCUUUGACGUUAGCGGCGGAGGGGUGAGAAACACGUGGAAACCGUACCUAUAAGACGGGGAUAACUUCGGGAAACGGGCGCUAAUACGGGAGAACAUCUUGAACCACAGGGGUCAACAGUGAAAGACGGCCUUGCUGGCACGUAUAGAUGGAUCUGCGCCGCAUUGGCUAGUUGGUAAGGUAACGGCUUAUCAAGGCAACGAUGCGUAGACGAGGUGAUAGGCGGGUCGGCGACCUUGGAGCGGGGCCGCGGUCAAGACGCCUACGGGACGCACCAGUAGGCUAUCUUACGCAGUGGGCGGAAGCAUGACGCAGCAACGCCGCGCGAGUGAAGAAGGUCUUCGGAUCGUAAUGCUCUGUUAUUGGUGGAGAACAAAUGUGUAAGUUACUAUGCACGGAUUGACGGUACCUAGUCAGAAAGCCCCGGCUAACUACGUG